rnacentral:rRNA from 1 species
AUUGAACGCUGGCGGCAUGCUUUACACAUGCAAGUCGAGCGGCAGCGCGGGGGCAACCCUGGCGGCGAGCGGCGAACGGGUGAGUAAUACAUCGGAACGUACCCAGGAGUGGGGGAUAGCCCGGCGAAAGCCGGAUUAAUACCGCAUACGAUCUUAGGAUGAAAGUGGGGGACCGCAAGGCCUCACGCUUUUGGAGCGGCCGAUGUCCGAUUAGCUAGUUGGUGGGGUAAAGGCCACCAAGGCGACGAUCAGUAGCUGGUCUGAGAGGAUGAUCAGCCACAUUGGGACUGAGACACGGCCCAAACUCCUACGGGAGGCAGCAGUGGGGAAUAUUGGACAAUGGGCGCAAGCCUGAUCCAGCCAUGCCGCGUGAGUGAUGAAGGCCCUAGGGUUGUAAAGCU